UACAGAGGGUGCGAGCGUUAAUCGGAAUUACUGGGCGUAAAGCGUGCGUAGACGGUUAUUUAAGUCGGGUGUGAAAGCCCCGGGCUCAACCCGGGAACUGCGUCCGAUACUGGCAGGCUUGAAUCCGGGAGAGGGAUGCGGAAUUCCAGGUGUAGCGGUGAAAUGCGUAGAUAUCUGGAGGAACACCGGUGGCGAAGGCGGCAUCCUGGACCGGCAUUGACGCUGAGGCGCGAAAGCCAGGGGAGCAAACGGG
rnacentral:rRNA from 1 species